AGUGAACGCUGGCGGUAGGCCUAACACAUGCAAGUCGAACGGCAGCACAGUAAGAGCUUGCUCUUACGGGUGGCGAGUGGCGGACGGGUGAGGAAUACAUCGGAAUCUACUUUUUCGUGGGGGAUAACGUAGGGAAACUUACGCUAAUACCGCAUACUACCUACGGGUGAAAGCAGGGGAUCUUCGGACCUUGCGCGAUUGAUUGAGCCGAUGUCGGAUUAGCUAGUUGGCGGGGUAAAGGCCCACCAAGGCGACGAUCCGUAGCUGGUCUGAGAGGAUGAUCAGCCACACUGGAACUGAGACACGGUCCAGACUCCUACGGGAGGCAGCAGUGGGGAAUAUUGGACAAUGGGCGAAAGCCUGAUCCAGCCAUACCGCGUGGGUGAAGAAGGCCUUCGGGUUGUAAAGCCCUUUUGUUGGGAAAGAAAAGCAGCAGGUUAAUACCCCGCUGUUCUGACGGUACCCAAAGAAUAAGCACCGGCUAACUUCGUG
rnacentral:rRNA from 1 species